ensembl:lncRNA
ACUCGCUCCUCGCGAGGAGGAAAAACUGCACCGCUGCAUAAUUCAGAAAGCAAACACAGAGAGGAGAGGGCGAGAGGAAAAAUCAAUACGGCUACAACUGAUCCUGCAGAUAAAUGAAGCGGCGAGUGCUGGCGAGGGGGAGGAUCCCUGGCAGCAGCAGGAGUGAGCGUGGAGAAAGUUCAGCAACUUGAAGAGGGAUGCAGAAGUUAGAUGGGCUCAAAGCGCUUUUGGAGAGGGUCAGGAAGGAAAGGGAGCUGUGGUCUAGCCCUGAAAACGCCCUGAGGCACAGGAGAUCCUCAGGAAAAACUUCUGAGGAAAGGUGGCGAGAUAUGGGAACAGGCUGCUCCAUGGAGACGGAGUCACUGUCCCUCGAAGUGUUCAAGAAAUGUGGAGAUGUGGCACUGAGUAACAUGGUGGGAAGGACGUCGACACCUGAAAUUCAGCAAGACUGUAAGGGCUCUUCCUCCUCCAGCCGAAGCCCGGCAAUUCAGAAGUCCGUGGUCGGAAGGACUCCUCAGCUAUUCUCUUUGAUCCGGCAGCCAGGAGAGGGAGCUCGGCAUCCUACUCCCAGGCUCCACUCGCCCAACAUCACUGAAGACAAUGUUGAUGAUUCUUUUGUUCAACAAAUAAAAGAAGUGGUUCCCACGAGGGAGCCGUGUUGGCAGCUGCUUUAUGCGGGCUUAGGGGAAUUGCGGAUAAUCGAUGCUUGCCAAAGGCAAAAUGGACAGCACCAGUGGAAGAAAACAAAACUAACUCUCAGGCUGCUAAGAGAUUAUUGCAUGCAGAGGGACCCGUUUUGGAAGUCUGGAGUGUCUUCGGUCCGCACAGCCACCAAUGGGAGCAUCAAGCACUCAGGACCAGUGGAAGGGCAUGAGGCUCAACUUGGCAUCUUGGACUUCCAUCACCAAAAGCCUGAGGAAAGUCCUCUUGGUAAAACCCUGGGUUCUCUCCAGGAGCAGUGGGCACUCACAGUCCUACUUGAGCUCAGCGAGGGCAACUGGAUAUUCAGUGAUUUUUUUUUUAUAUUUCAGUGUUGAAGCAUGAGGACAGUCACCUAGCUUUUGGUGUCAGGAAGUUGAACGUUCAAAGCAUCAGAAUGGAAACAGAUUCCCAAAUGUACUGAAUGUUGGUGGAAAGAAAGCACUUUAUAAACGGAUAAUUAUUCAGUGCCAGUCUGCCAGGACUUCAGUAGGAUUUCGAGUGAGACAUUUCUAUAGAUAAAAAUAAUGUUCAAGAAGAGUCCCAUACUCUUAGCACAAACCUUUCUGAGUUUAGUGAUGCCAUUUUAAUUGGUUCUGGCUAUUAAUAGUGCUGUGAUUCCUGGGUUUGUUGGAAAUGUGAUCCCCACAUCCAGAGAUGCUGGCUCACCAGCAGUCAUUGGUCCUGGGGGUAUCCUUUCCUGAUGUAGUCUUGGUUCUGUUUCUCCUGUAAAUGUCUGUAUUUGUAUACACUGAUCCCUGGUGAUGGAUUUCUUCAUGGACUGUGUUCCAUCAGCCAUUCCCAGAGCUGCUGUAACAGCACAAAUACACAUUCCAGACACAUUUUCAUCCAAAUCUAGUGUGGGUGAGGACAGAGCCUGGGACAGCCAGCCUAAUCCUGACAGAUAAUUUUUCCCUGGGGCUAGGGUGAAGAAAAGUUAUUCUGAGAGUGCCAGAUGGGCUAUGGAAACAUCCUAACAAUACCUGUAAUUAACAUAUCCAGUGCUCCUUCACCUAAGAGCUUUCAGGAUGACUCACACACUCACCCUACAGAUCCCUGCAGGGUCAGGUGCUGCCUAAGCUGAAUGAGAAAAAGGAUGCAGGCACCCUCAUUGGAGACAGCUCAGAGCAGAGCUGCAGUGACUAGGGAUGUUAGCUCUGUUUUUAGCUGAGCCAAUCUCCUUUCUCUCCAUGAAAGCUCAGUGCAGGGAGAGAACGUUAUCCAUUAACCUUCCAGUAUGCAGAACCUAGUGUUGUCACCCGGCUCCUGGUGAGUGGUGUCAGACAUGGCUGGCGUUCCUCCAUCGAUAUCUUCAAUUACAGUGGCACUUCAGCCAUUCCUAAGAGCAUUUGCCAUUUACACAGUGGAUUUCUCUACCUGUGUGGAUCUCACUGGCACGAAAAAUGAGCAUGUUUUCUGAGCAUACCCUCAUCUUGGAGAAGAAGCAAUGCCAGAAAGACCAAGAAGCCAGAAUUCUGCAUCUUGCAGGCAAUUCAGAUGAUUUGCACAGUCCUCAUCAUUAAGUUCAUACAGCAAAGCCAUCAGACUGUGUGUUCCUUCCUUCAGGCGGUUCUUCUGCUGAUGAGCUGUUCUCAUCCUUACAGAUUGCUCAGUGCUGUGAGAUACCAGGUUGGAUAUCAGGAAAAGGUUCUGCACCAGAGUAUGGUGGACAUGGAACAGGCUCCCCAGGGCAAUGGUUACUGAACCAACCUGCUGGAGUUCAAGGGGUGUUUGGACAAUGCUCUCAGACAUAGGUCUGAUUUUUGGGUUGUCCUGUGUGGAGCCAGGAAUUGGACUUGAUGAUUCUCAUGGGUCCUUUCCAACUUGGAGUGUUCUAUGAUUCUAUGUGGCCUGAGGUGCUUUCUUUCCUAGAAGCCAUCUCACCCAUCAAAAGACAGAGCCUCUUUCCUAAGAUCCUUCUGUCAGACAGGCAUCUUCCACAAGGCUUUUAUAUUAGCACCAGUAAAGUGAAUAAGGAGUUAUAUACAAGUAUAUUUAAGAUAUUACACAGAAUCAUUCGAGUUGGAAAGGACACUUAAAGGCCAUCAUUCCAGCCCCCCAGCAAUGAGCGGGGACACCUACAGCUCCAUCAGGUGCUCAGAGCCCCAUCCAGCCUGACCUUGAGUGUCUCCAGGGAUGGGGCACCACCACCUCUCUGGACAACCUGUGUGAGUGCUUCACCAACUUUAUUGUAAAAAUGCUCUUUCUUAUAUCCAAUCAGGAUUUAUUCACCAACUUACCAUUUUUUUUUCCCCAUGCCUGAGAAAUGGUAAGCAGCCUCCUUGCUUGUCAUUUGUGGUCAUGCUCAUUAGCAGAUCUUCACUCCAUCAUGAAUAUUGAGAUUGGAGCUCAUUUGCAAUUGGUUGGCCGUAUCACAUGGCCGAUCUCUGUCUCCUGGUUGGAAGGAUGCCCAUUCAAAUAGAAGCAUGUUUUUCUGGGACUGCUCACGUAUUGACUUUGAAAUUUGUUUCCCACAAACAUUUGUCCUCACAACCCAACUGCUUUGGCGGUGGAAGAAAGCAGGCAUAAAAGAAACAUGGGCAUUUAUAAUUAAAAGGGAAAGUCCUUAGCUUUGUUGAAUCUCCUACCGGAGGUGCCAAUUAGAGCCUGCUGGAUCCUGGAUAGAGACACCUGCCCGCUUUUCUCAGCUCAUUGCAGAGAGGUGAGCAGCAGGCACCACACCUGCAGCCCAUCAGCAGGAUAUGCAUGAGCCUAGCUCUCCUAUCCUGCAGCCAGACGGGCCCCAGAACUUUUAGAAACUGAAAGGCUGAAUGAAAACAUCAAAUACCAAGACAGUUUUGCAGGAAUAUCAACUGGAAAAGAAAAACACGCACACAACUGUACCAAUACCAUCACUGGGCACAGACAGCUCCGGAUUUUGUAGCUUCCAGACAAAGUCAGCAGCAACCGUCAGAAUCUGUGUUUCAAGUCCGACCUUCUGCUUUUAUCUAUAUUUUAAACCCCACACAAGGUAUACAAGGCGAAUGUUGCUGUUACAGUCAGAAAAGCCUAAAUAAUGGAUGAAGAACAGAGGCUGCAAGGAGGGGGGGGGGGUGUAGAAAAAGAAAAGGGGGGGGAGAGAAAAAGAAAAAAAGAUGAGAAAAGCUUGAGGAGAAAAAGAAAGAAAAAA